rnacentral:rRNA from 1 species
GUGGGGAAUAUUGGACAAUGGGCGCAAGCCUGAUCCAGCCAUGCCGCGUGAGUGAUGAAGGCCUUAGGGUUGUAAAGCUCUUUUAUCCGGGACGAUAAUGACGGUACCGGAGGAAUAAGCCCCGGCUAACUUCGUGCCAGCAGCCGCGGUAAUACGAAGGGGGCUAGCGUUGCUCGGAAUCACUGGGCGUAAAGGGCGCGUAGGCGGCGUUUUAAGUCGGGGGUGAAAGCCUGUGGCUCAACCACAGAAUGGCCUUCGAUACUGGGACGCUUGAGUAUGGUAGAGGUUGGUGGAACUGCGAGUGUAGAGGUGAAAUUCGUAGAUAUUCGCAAGAACACCGGUGGCGAAGGCGGCCAACUGGACCAUUACUGACGCUGAGGCGCGAAAGCGUGGGGAGCAAACAGGAUUAGAUACCCCGGUAGUCC